rnacentral:lncRNA from 1 species
CUUUCGACCACGACGGUGGCAUGACAGUCUUGUUAGUGCCAUCAUCGAUGUCGAGGGUUGGUUUAGAAUUUCGCCGGGCUUCGUUCGCUUUACAAAUAAACCGGAAAUAAAGCCCCGUAGGAGACAGAGAAAGGGCAUUUUCAUACCUGAUGCUCAUCUUUUGGCUGUGAUUAUGGAACCAUCAUUCGGAACAAAUCUUCAGUUGUGGAUUAAAUCGUUCUGUAGUGAUCUUUCGAGCUGUUUAUUUUUUCUUUUCCUCUUUGAAUGUGCUGUAGUGGCCUUAUUAUUACUAAAAGAAGUUGGAAAAGAAAAACUAACGUUCCCAACUGCUUUGCGGCACGCAUGUGGGAUGGCUCGCGCGAGCCGACCUGACGCCCUGACGUUUUUUUCUUCCACUUUGUCCCUUGCAUUUUAUUUUCAUUGUCCAUGGUGCUUUUAAAAUUGCACAAUAGAUUACAGAUUCAACUCAGAAACAUCUUCUGAUCUCUACUCCUAAAGGAGGAGUUUGCGGUGGUGAUGGUAGGUCAUAGUACGUCGUUCGUUCGUUCCUUCGUUGGUCAAGUUCGCUUCGUUGUUCCUCCCCUCCUCAAAUCAAUGGACCUUUCCUUCCUUUUUAGAACGAACUAAAUCUCAUUCUCUCACAUGACUGCGCAAGAGUUAUGUUCCUGACCGCCGUCGGCCUCUCCUCCCAUCGAUCGCCUCUGGUCUAGUGUCCCCUGCCCUUGCCGGUCUCCGUGGUCUCCGUCCUUACUGCCACCGCCAAGGCGACUCUAGAUCCACGCCCGCCGUCGCCGUCGGCAUGUCCUACCAAAGGUUGCUGCACGGAUGCUUAGAUGGGGAAGACCUUGGCCUCAGGGAGCACGGGCGGUGCCAUGGUGUCCUCCCACACCGAUGUUAUCUCUUCAUCCGGCGAAGCAUGAUGUCUCCUUAUCUACUCCCUCCGUUCUAAAAUAGAUGACCCAACUUUGUAUUAACUUUGUACUAAAGUUAGUAUCAAGUUAAGUCAUCUAUUUUAAAACGGAGGGAGUAAUUAUUAAGCCCGGCCUGCAGCAGGCUAUUUUCAUUUCCAGGCUAAGCAUCUCGAUCUCUUUUGCGUCCCCCUCUUCUUCUCAGGUGACUAUGGUUUGAAGAUUUGGGGAUUCUCACCUAACAUUCUUCAGUCUAGCUGUCGGAGCUUGAGCCAGAAUUAUUGGGGGGCCAUGGGCUAGAGGAGGGGGGGCAAACAUAACUAUUUUAGCUGAUUCUCAAUGAAAAAUAUGCCUAACACAAAGGAGUAUCUACAUGUUUUCUUGUGAGCUGGGGGGCUCCGUCACUGCUGUCCAGUAUUAUGUUCCACAAUGCACAACGACCUUCAACCUCUUGGUUUUUAUUUUGACGACCAAUCGACUUGCUAACAACUCUUUUCUUCAGAGCAAUGCCCGCCUUCAGUGCAAUUUUGCCGACCAACUAAUAUUUUGUUCCUCGGUUUGAUUAGCAGUUUAGCAUCAACCACAUCGCAGACAGGACGAACAUGGUCGCGGAUUGGAGGACGGUGAGCCCAGAAACGCCAUGGUGUUAGAGUAGAAUAAGCAGGCGUAUAGGGGAUGCAGGAUCACCGUCGACAAACAAGCCGCCGGGUGACCUAGGUGGCGAUGACGACCAGCUUAGCCAGGUACUUGAGCAAACUUCCCCAUAAACAUGUACUCUUCCGACUUCAAUCAAUCCGGCUCAGUCUUGAGAGAGUACACAUCAUGUAGAACGGUUGUUGAGAGCAGCAUGUUCGUACAGGAGGAAUUUGGUUGAUCGGCUUCAGGUUUUGAGAGCCAACAGGUACGUAUGUGCUAAGAAUUUUUAAUGGGUAAUCAAUCUUAGGAGAGAAAGGAUUGUUAGGAUUUUUAUGGGUAAUCAAUCUUAUGGGCAAGAACUGAUUUUUGUCUCUGCUGAACGGUAGCACUCUUAUCCUAUUUGAACCAUAAAAGCAGUAGUGACUUCACAAUGCAAUAAGCUAAAUUGUUAUUAAGAUUUCUGUUAGCAGCACCAACUUCUGUUCGUUUCUGUUAGCAGCACCAACUUCUGUUCAGAUGUCAGAAAAAACUUCAGUACAAGAUUUAGGAACAAUCAGCCAGCUUAACUCUCAGCCUAAAACCAUUCUCUCUUGCAGUUCAGUUAUGUCAAGCUAUUAUAAUUCACUCAGCAUGUGCAUUCAAGCAACAAGCAUUCCACUAAUUUGCACAUUGAAUUGCAAAUGUAAUCAACGGAGGUAGGGCACGGAGGGUGCUUGGCGGGGAGGUGCGCAACGGCUUCUUUGGGUGGGACGCUGACGAUAGCAUCUUUGGGACGAUGCCCUUGGUUGUGAGGUGUGACGAUGCCCUUGGUAAUGAAUCACCAUUGACACUGGGCAGGGGCUUUGGAUUUGGCGUCUGCACUACACUGCCACGCUGGUGACGAUGUUGAGUGCCUCAAUGGUGUGUGCGCGCGUGCCCGCGCGUGCCCGAGCUGAUGAAGAAGGUGUGCUACCGCCUACUGCUGAAGCAUGAUCUCUAUUUUGAAUUUUUCUUUUGUGUGUGUCGCUUCUUAUUCGAGAAUUGUUAUGUGCGAGUGUAUCUUCCCCCCCUCAAUUUUGACUUAUAUUUAUUUGUUUAUGAUUAUACUAGAAUUUCUUAUUAAAUGAUUAAAUAAAUUAGCUGUGUCCUUACUUUCUUCUAUACAUACAACAUAAAAAAGUAUAUAGAAGAUGAUUAUAACUUGUAUAGGUCACUGCUCUGCUUUCAGAAAAUAGAAGAUGAUUAUAACUUGUACGGAUGCUGCUGAUUUAUACAUCUAGCUUCACAAUGAUAGCACAUGCUUCUGGGCUGUACUAAUAAACAUUAAAUCUCAAUUAUGGAGGGGCAUGGUGCUUUCAGAACUUUUUUUUGACUGGUCUAUUUUAAUUCAGAUUAAAUCAACAAAAGACUUGCAUCUGUAGUUGUUUCUUGCUGAUGAAAGACAAUGCUUAGUUUCUGAUGAGAGAGUUAAAUGUUGUUGUUGUUUUGAAGUGAUUGCCAACUCUUGCUUGGAGAAAGGAAUCACCAAAGUCGUCUACCCCGAGGGGGUUCCUUCUACCAUGGCUGCAUCAAAGCUCUAGCCGAUCCUGCUAGAGAGAAUGGGUUUGAGUUAUGAAAUUUUCUAUCAAUAUUGCUAGGAUCACAUGUAAUACCUGUUUUCUGUUUCGUUUCAUCACUAUGGUUUUCUGUUUGUUUAUGAAUAAAUGAUUUGUAUACCUUUAAAAUGUUUUGUACAUUGUAAAUCUUGUGGAAUGUUUUGAGUUUUUCAUGCAUGCAUCCUGAGGAGUACACAGGUUCAUAUGUGCGAUGACACAUCAACCCUGAAGCCACGAGGACAUGGAAAUCUAAAUCAAGAUGCUUAUAUGUUGUUUAUAUUUUGAUGCCCAAUUAUCUUCCUUGCCUGUGGUAGCUGCUCAUAAGAAAAUAACCAUAUAUGCCCCUUGUUUGCCUCAUCCCUUGUAUUUUUAUCCCUCACAGUAAAAUACUAAAAUAAGAGUAAGAGCCAGUUCACUUCACUUUUUCUUAUAAAUUUCACAUUUUCACCUCACUACAUAAAGAUGCUACAGAAAAUAAAACUGGCAAAAAAAGUUUGAAAUGCUGCCUUGUCUGGGAUCUUAAAUGGUGCCACCCCGUUAGAAAAUACUUGUCGCUCAAACAGAUGUUUUUAAACAUAUUUCAAUAUUAGAUACAUACAUUUGAGUGACAAGUAUUUUCGGACGGAGGGAGUAAAUGUUUGGCACAAUUAAUAUUAAACUACUAAAAUAUUUAUGCACCCGUUGCAACACACGGGCAUUUUCCUAGUAUAGAUAAUUACCAUCUACUUAACAUUUCAGUUGGGUCACAGUCGGUCGUUAUAUAUAUGCAAGAUUCUGUGAAUUCCUUUACCAUUUUUUGGAAGGGAAUUCCUCUACCAUUUGUCAAUGGGUACAAUUUUAUACCGUUUCCCACCGUUUUAAGUUUGCACUAAUCUUAACAAGUUACUUAAAAAGGCCAUCGCCAUAUUAGCUUGGAGAUCAAACAUAGAUUUAAGGUAGCAGGUAUCAAGUUUGAUCACAAAUUACUUUCAUGAAUAGCCUUUGAUCUGGGUUCGUGUUUUUUUUUUGAAAUGACAAUUAUCCUGCAUUCAUUAAGAAGAAAAGAGUUGCUCAGUUAAUUUAGAAAACCGAGCGAAAGCCAUCACAACCGCUGAGCGGGUUGUGGGAUACGGGAUUUAUACCAAACCUGUUUCUAGUAAUCGCGUUUAGGAUUCUAACCACCUAAAACUACAAAAAUGCUACACCCACUAAAAGUACUCCCCCGCGAUUUUCAGGGUGUAGCAAAGCUCCUAAAACUAGACGAGUAUUUGGAAAAACUAGUAAUCGUCGUUUUUCUACAAACCAGUUUAGUUUAUGGUUCGUUUCAAUCACAGACUCUAGCUUCCAUUAGACCCCGUUUCAGGUGUACUACAGCAAGUACGUCUACUACGGCAAGGCUAGCCCCGUUUCGAUCAGGUGUCGUGGCUGCUGCUCUCCUCGGUGAGGACGACAUCGGCGUUUGUCCUGUGACCGUGGGCUUGCUCGGCGCCGCUGUGGCCGCCGUGUAAGUGACAAGUUGUAGAUGGCUUUCCCGGAAACGGCAGCGGGCAGCGUCCAGUACAGCAAGGUCAGCCGAUUCCAGGUGCUGGUGUGAGUGCCCCGGCUGCUGCUCCCUCCACCGUCGACGAUGUAAUGCAAAUCCAGCACGCUGGUGCUGCCGGCCAGCCCACCAUUCUUACAGUCAGUGAAGCAGUGGCUGGGGCAGGCCAGGGCCUGACCUCCUCAAGGAGUAUGUCCCGUGCUCGCGCCGCUCAGCCUCGGCAACACCUACCUGGCUACCUCGCCGCAGCCGGCCUCCGGCGCGCUCUUUUGCGUCGGCUUGAUCAGAUAAUGAAAUGAUUGGCGUGCGACACACACAUAUAUGCAACGCAUCACAGGUCGAUGGAGCGUAGCACGGUGGGGUUGAUGGUGGUGGUGGCGCCGCCGAAGACGAGGUUGUGGCCGCCGACGAACAAAGCGUCCCAGCCUGGUCGGACGCGAGGAACAGCGCGGCUUCCGUCACGUCGACCGCGUUAGCACCUUCCCACGCAGCACGUUGAGCUUCUCCGUCAUUGCCUCCAUCUCGUAGGCGCUCACGGCCACCAUGGCGCAGCUCAGUGGCGUGGUGCCCGAGCUCCAUGGCAUGCAGCCGCGCGCACCAGCCCCAGCAGCGGCCAGCAAUUUGAUGGACAUCACAUGGUCGAGGGCGCCCAGCUCCAUGUGCGUGAAAGGCCCGUCGGGAGCAGCACCAACUGUGCCGUGGACCCAUGGUCGAUGUGCUGGGCGCGGUGCUUGCCCUCUUGCCUCUCACGUGAAUGUAAGGUUGAGGAUGACCCGAAAGAGAUGACAAACAAACUAUUCUAUGAACCAGUUUUAAUAAAACGACAGCUUAAAACUGGUUUUCCUAAAAAUACUCUUAAAACUGGUUUUGCUAAAACUUGUUUCAAAUACUAGUUAUCCAAACAACCACAUAAGGUACCCCACCCACACCACUCCAAAGAGGGUCUCGCCGAGACAACACACAUGCGCGAUCGUCAUCACUCCUCCCCUAGAGGCGUGAUCGCCAUCCCUAAACCCUGAGCAAACGACUCCGACUUCGCCGUAAGCGAUCGUCGACUCAACCCACGCUGAAGAGGCCAUGUGGAGAUGUAUGAAGUUCCGCGCCAGACCCAGCCACCGGUGACCAGACAACGCAGCUCCGACUUUGACGGAGAACCACGAAGGAGAACUAGGCACGGCUGACGCCACAGAAGAUCAUCGAACGAACCACAUGCUGCCAGUCAUCGUAUACCAUAAGGCCCCGCCACCGCAGCUUCAACUUCAGAGCAACUAACCGGCCGAGGCGAUCCCACGGACACGCCAGAGAAGAGCCGACUACCGCAACCAUAGCCAUGUCUCCAACAUUGCUCGCCCCAUGAUCGUUGCCACGGAAGCCUCGACGCCAACACCGCCAACUUUCCCUGGUCUCGCUCGCCAACAUCCAGCUCCAAAGACUAAGCCCCCGGGGGGGAGUACGACACCAAGGCGUCGUCAUCGUCCGAUUAAACAAGAUAAGGGGUUUCCCCCGAAGCUGCAGCGAUCCGCAUGGGAGGGGUGCAGCAGCAAAACAACGAUGUCUCCAAGAAGAUAAGCAACGACCAUGGCCGCCGCCAUCGCUGGUCACCGUCACAAUCGAGACAGGGUUUUCACGCAAGCUCCUGAGACCACCUCAUCCGCACAUCAUCUCACAAUAGCGAUCACGUAGCACCACCACCGAGCUGGCUCGUAGUCGAACAAGCCAAUCGUCGGAGCAACCAACCGCACCUUGCGGAGGCCGCAGACCGACAGUAGCCGCUAGAUCUGCCAACCGCCGACAAAGAGCCAGACCACCGGACGCAGCAUGAACCGUCAAUCCUUGCCGAGCACCAUGCCGACAGGACCACAGAAAUGCUUCCUGAGGCCACAAACCACCUCGGUUCCCAGCCGUGACCAAGCUCACAUGCGCACGCGCACCACACACGCCCACGAAAGACGCAGAAGAUCCAGCCACCACAAACGCGAUCAUGCUCCAGCACUACGAGCUCCUCCACUUCGGGCUGCCACGCUGACCGAGCAGCAGCAACCACCCCUCGUGCCGGCGCGACCACACGACGGUACCUCCUCGCCACCGGACCCCUGAAGCCGUUCCCCGAGCGUCGUACAGGCUGUCGGAUGAUACGUCUUCAACGUAUCUAUAAUUUUUGAUUGUUCCAUGCUAUUAUAUUAUGGGACUGUCUAUUUGGUAUUUGACUGUUUUACAAUUUGAGAACAUUCAAAAAUCCUGACAAAUGAACAUAUGACACAUGUACAGUCACAAAAACAGCU